GGGUUGUGAGGUUAAGCGACUAAGCGUACACGGUGGAUGCCUAGGCAGUCAGAGGCGAUGAAGGGCGUGCUAAUCUGCGAAAAGCGUCGGCAAGGUGAUAUGAACCGUUAUACCCGACGAUACCCGAAUGGGGAAACCCAGUGUGUUUCGACACACUAUCAUGGCAUGAAUACAUAGUGUCAUGAGGCGAACCGGGGGAACUGAAACAUCUCAGUACCCCGAGGAAAAGAAAUCAACCGAGAUUCCCCCAGUAGCGGCGAGCGAACGGGGAGGAGCCCAGAACCUGAAUCGGCUUGUGUGUUAGUGGAAGCGUCUGGAAAGUCGCACGAUACAGGGUGACAGUCCCGUACACAAAAAUGCACAAGUUGUGAGUUCGAUGAGUAGGGCGGGACACGUGGUAUCCUGUCUGAAUAUGGGGGGACCAUCCUCCAAGGCUAAAUACUCCUGACUGACCGAUAGUGAACCAGUACCGUGAGGGAAAGGCGAAAAGAACCCCGGCGAGGGGAGUGAAACAGAACCUGAAACCGUGUACGUACAAGCAGUGGGAGCCCUGAUUUAUCAGGGUGACUGCGUACCUUUUGUAUAAUGGGUCAGCGACUUAUAUUCUGUAGCAAGGUUAACCGUAUAGGGGAGCCGCAGGGAAACCGAGUCUUAACUGGGCGUUAAGUUGCAGGGUAUAGACCCGAAACCCGGUGAUCUAGCCAUGGGCAGGUUGAAGGUUGGGUAACACUAACUGGAGGACCGAACCGACUAAUGUUGAAAAAAUUAGCGGAUGACUUGUGGCUGGGGGGUGAAAGGCCAAUCAAACCGGGAGAUAGCUGGUUCUCCCCGAAAGCUAUUUAGGUAGCGCCUCGUGAAGUCAUCUUCGGGGGUAGAGCACUGUUUCGGCUAGGGGGGCCAUCCCGGCUUACCAACCCGAUGCAAACUGCGAAUACCGAAGAAUGUUAUCACGGGAGACACACGGCGGGUGCUAACGUCCGUCGUGAAGAGGGAAACAACCCAGACCGCCAGCUAAGGUCCCAAAGUCAUGGUUAAGUGGGAAACGAUGUGGGAAGGCCCAGACAGCCAGGAUGUUGGCUUAGAAGCAGCCAUCAUUUAAAGAAAGCGUAAUAGCUCACUGGUCGAGUCGGCCUGCGCGGAAGAUGUAACGGGGCUAAAACCAUGCACCGAAGCUGCGGCAGCGACGUUUAGGCGUUGUUGGGUAGGGGAGCGUUCUGUAAGCCGUUGAAGGUGGCCUGUGAGGGCUGCUGGAGGUAUCAGAAGUGCGAAUGCUGACAUAAGUAACGAUAAUGCGGGUGAAAAACCCGCACGCCGGAAGACCAAGGGUUCCUGUCCAACGUUAAUCGGGGCAGGGUGAGUCGACCCCUAAGGCGAGGCUGAAAAGCGUAGUCGAUGGGAAACAGGUUAAUAUUCCUGUACUCGGUGUUACUGCGAAGGGGGGACGGAGACGGCUAUGUCAUCCGGGCGACGGUUGUCCCGGUUUAAGCGUGCAGGUGGGUGGACCAGGCAAAUCCGGUCUGCUGUCAACACUGAGGCGUGAUGACGAGGCACUACGGUGCUGAAGUGACAGAUGCCCUGCUUCCAGGAAAAGCCUCUAAGCAUCAGGUAACAGUGAAUCGUACCCCAAACCGACACAGGUGGUCAGGUAGAGAAUACUCAGGCGCUUGAGAGAACUCGGGUGAAGGAACUAGGCAAAAUGGUGCCGUAACUUCGGGAGAAGGCACGCUGGGCAUGGUGAAGUCCCUUGCGGACGGAGCUGGGCCCAGUCGCAGAUACCAGCUGGCUGCAACUGUUUAAUAAAAACACAGCACUGUGCAAACACGAAAGUGGACGUAUACGGUGUGACGCCUGCCCGGUGCCGGAAGGUUAAUUGAUGGGGUUAUCCGCAAGGAGAAGCUCUUGAUCGAAGCCCCGGUAAACGGCGGCCGUAACUAUAACGGUCCUAAGGUAGCGAAAUUCCUUGUCGGGUAAGUUCCGACCUGCACGAAUGGCGUAAUGAUGGCCAGGCUGUCUCCACCCGAGACUCAGUGAAAUUGAACUCGCUGUGAAGAUGCAGUGUACCCGCGGCAAGACGGAAAGACCCCGUGAACCUUUACUAUAGCUUGACACUGAACCUUGAACCUUGAUGUGUAGGAUAGGUGGGAGGCUGAGAAAUGUGGACGCCAGUCUGCAUGGAGCCGACCUUGAAAUACCACCCUUUAAUGUUUGAUGUUCUAACGUGGGCCCGUAAACCGGGUUGCGGACAGUGUCUGGUGGGUAGUUUGACUGGGGCGGUCUCCUCCCAAAGCGUAACGGAGGAGCACGAAGGUUAGCUAAUCCUGGUCGGACAUCAGGAGGUUAGUGCAAAGGCAUAAGCUAGCUUGACUGCGAGAGUGACGGCUCGAGCAGGUGCGAAAGCAGGUCUUAGUGAUCCGGUGGUUCUGAAUGGAAGGGCCAUCGCUCAACGGAUAAAAGGUACUCCGGGGAUAACAGGCUGAUACCGCCCAAGAGUUCAUAUCGACGGCGGUGUUUGGCACCUCGAUGUCGGCUCAUCACAUCCUGGGGCUGAAGUAGGUCCCAAGGGUAUGGCUGUUCGCCAUUUAAAGUGGUACGCGAGCUGGGUUUAGAACGUCGUGAGACAGUUCGGUCCCUAUCUGCCGUGGGCGUUGGAAGAUUGAGGGGGGUUGCUCCUAGUACGAGAGGACCGGAGUGAACGCACCGCUGGUGUUCGGGUUGUCAUGCCAAUGGCACUGCCCGGUAGCUACGUGCGGAAGAGAUAACCGCUGAAAGCAUCUAAGCGGGAAACUUGCCCCGAGAUGAGUCUUCCCUGGGAACUUGAUUCCCCUGAAGGGACGUUCGAGACGAGGACGUUGAUAGGCUGGGUGUGUAAGCGUAGCGAUACGUUGAGCUAACCAGUACUAAUGACCCGAGAGGCUUAACCUUACAACACCGAAGGUGUUU
rnacentral:rRNA from 1 species